GGGCCCGCACAAGCGGUGGAGUAUGUGGUUUAAUUCGAUGCAACGCGAAGAACCUUACCAGGGUUUGACAUCCUGCGAAUCUCUUGGAAACAGGAGAGUGCCUUCGGGAACGCAGUGACAGGUGGUGCAUGGCUGUCGUCAGCUCGUGUCGUGAGAUGUUGGGUUAAGUCCCGCAACGAGCGCAACCCACGUCUUUAGUUGCCAGCAUUUAGUUGGGCACUCUAGAGAGACUGCCGGUGAUAAACCGGAGGAAGGUGUGGAUGACGUCAAGUCAUCAUGCCCCUUACAUCCUGGGCUACACACGUACUACAAUGCUACGGACAAAGGGCAGCAAGUUCGCGAGGACAAG
rnacentral:rRNA from 1 species